rnacentral:snRNA from 1 species
GAUCAAGUGUAGUAUCUGUUCUUAUCAGUUUAAUAUCUGAUACGUCCUCUAUCCGAGGACAAUAUAUUAAAUGGAUUUUUGGAGCAGGGAGAUGGAAUAGGAGCUUGCUCCGUCCACUCCACGCAUCGACCUGGUAUUGCAGUACCUCCAGGAACGGUGCACCCCCU